GCCAGGUGUGGUGGCUCAUGCCUGUAACCCCAGCACUUUGGGGGCCGAGGUGGGGGGAUCACUUGAGCCCAGGAGUUUGAGACCAACCUGGGCAACACAGUGGGACCCUAUCUCUA
ensembl:misc_RNA Metazoa_SRP Metazoan signal recognition particle RNA